rnacentral:lncRNA from 1 species
AUCCCAGGACGCUGUGCUUCUUUUUCUCUCACGAGGGUUCUCAUCCCAGGCAUCAAAAAAAAAAAAAAAACCAUGGUGCUCCUUUCUCUCUCACAGGCGUGCUGGUCCCAAGAAAAAGACCGCACGAGGAGCUUGUACUUUCUUCUCUCUCACACCGCACUAAUUCCAGGAAAAAGACCGUGCGAGGAGCAAAAAUAUCGUGAUCUCAGGGGAAAAAAACCACAUGCGGAAAGG